UUGUCUCCACAGAGGAUUACGUGGUAUUUUUUGACCGCCUGACGUUCAUCAGGAAGUGCGUGCAGGUCGCAGGUACCGAGCUGACCACUAGGACCAACAUCCUGCUGGUCCGACUGGACCUGCGGGUUCCUGGGAACGGGAUUGUGUUCACCUACAAGUCGGAGAAAAACACAAAGAGGAGCCACCACCGGGACUGUGACGUUCAGCUGUUUGCCCCUAGUGGUGACUUUGAAAACCCAACGACGUCCAACACCAAUCACACCUGUCGAGUGCUCGUCAACGCCCCCCCUUGGUGAAGACCAGGAUCCAGGCGCUGCACAUGGGACUGCCCUCCAACGCCACCACCCCCCCGUCCACCUUCAUCUCGCUCCGGGACACGGACGUCCUGAGGACAAACGUCUUCCGAGGACCGCGGCUCUUCGUGUGGCAGUCGUCUGGAAACAUGGCUGAGGUGGAGUUCCACGGAGAAUAACUGCGUUCCAAAGGAAGCUUCCGGGCCGAAUAUUCCUUCAUAAAUCUUUAACGUUAAAUUCACUCAGUAAAAAGGAGAUGUAACACAAGAGGGCGAGGCAGAGGGGGGAGAGCAGGGGAGAGUGGGGGAAAGUGGGGGGGUUCUAGUCCAUGACGUAAACCCAUUUACACUGACAUUCCUAGUGUAUUUUGUUUAUUCUUCCAAACGGUGAUGCGUUAGAUUAGCAAUUAUAUCUUAGCUAGCUCAAGAAUGACAACAAGUAAAUAAAUGGUGUGAUCGC